CCAACAUCCACAUGUUCAUUGACAUUGACGUUGCACACACUGAAAGCUGACACCAAAUUGGAUUGAAAGGUCAGGGUUGGACUUUUGCGUGUGUUUGUAUACAUACAUACAGGCUGCAUGCCUUGAAGCACAUGUGCUGAAAUCUACUUGUGGGUAUCAGUUGUCAUGUUCAAAUGGGCCCAUGUACAGAAACUCAAGAUGUGUUCCAGGAAGUGACGGGGUGAAGAGAGGGGCCAGGAGCAUGGAGCAUAUAAAAGCUAAUACUCCUGUGUUCCCCUCUGGACAUCAUUGACUCGCAGCACGUCUUCUGAACCCUGGGGGUCAAGGGUUGCCACUUAGCCCAGGGGGGAGAAAAGCACAUGUGACACUGGAUCCUGGCAGGGCUAAUGGUCAUUACCCGGGCAGGCGACCCCCUCCCUCCAUCACCCUCAGACCUGCUGCCGGAGCUAGACAAACCCACUUCCUGGUGCUUCAUCUCAAGGUGCCUCUAUACACACACACCACACAAACAGGAAACAGCCCUCUUUCAUGUCCCUCUUACUGCAUGCAGAUUAGGUUCUUUUCAAAAGGUGCAGCGUCUCAUAUUCACCUGGUUUUAGAUGUGCAAGUCCUUUCU